AGGACUGGGUACUGUUAAAAGCCAUUAAUUAAUUUAUAGUAGAUAUCAACAGCAACAUAAAAUAUUAGGUAAAUCCAGUAAGUGGCAAAGUGGAAAUCCAAAAGGGCAACAUUUGGAAAAUUUGGAAAUAAUUUAAACAAUCUGAGUUGUCAGUGUGCAGGGUCAGCUCUCUAAAAGUCAUUCUGCCUCAGCUCUAUAAAAGAACCCACACACCUUAACAUCUCUCUCUCCCUUCUCCUCCCAUAUAAUACCAAUAACAACUUCAGUACACCUUAUUUUCUCUGGGUGGAUUUUUCUGGGUUUAAUGGCCCAGACCAUUCAACUGACAGUAGUGGUCAUUAAUCGUGGGCAGUGUCCUGCACUUUGAUGGCUAUGGCUUACAGCAAUAAUAAAAACCAUACAUUUGGACCAGGGAAUCUUAAACAUAGGUACACACUAUAUCGCCAUACAAUAUAGCAGUUUAUAUUUGCACGGUGUCAAAACAAUUACAAAUCCUUUAAGCUCCUCUCACGCUUGUUAUGUGAUGCACAGGGAAUGUUCUCCCUACCAUGAUCUUUAAGCUUCAUAAUACCUUGAGAGCUAGCAUGCUAAGGAGCCAUCUCCGUUUUAACAUUUCAGUAUUAAUGUGAGAUCAUACCACAUGAAAAUUUAAUUUGAAAAUUUAUCAUUUAAACUUUGAAAGGAAUGCAUUGAAAUUUGUGACUUAUAGCUCCUUUUUUCAGUUCUGAACAGAUAAAAAUCCAGCAUAUUAUACGCCAAGGCAUGCAUUAUUACUUAGUUCAGCUUUGCAAAGCCACUAAAUCACUUACAGCUUUGUACAAGGAGGCUAGAAUAGGGACAAGUAACAAAGGAGAUGAUGUGUAAUAUUAAAAUAAAUCUCACACAAAUAAGUUUAAAUAGUUUACAAAGACGACCAAAUUAUGUACAAACGAUCUGGAGAAUCACUUGUUGUUGUUGAGAAUGUGACAUAAUUUUGAAGCAAUGAAUGUUAUGUGCAAUUUGAGAUUCAUUCUGAAUUCCUUCUAGUUUACUAAUAGUGUCCAAUCAAAUCAGUAGCCAAAUGGCAAGGAAAAAAAGACAAUACAAAAUUACAUUUGACUAAAAGUAGUAGAGUCAGCUACACCAAAACUUCACACAUUGGAAAUUAAAUACGGAUGGGCUUGCUACUGAGAUAAUUUUACAAUGUGCAUCUUUUGCGCUGUGUGGAAGUAACAUUUUUAAUAAGUGAAAUAUGUCACAAUAUUUCCCAGAAUGAAUGGGAUUGCUUACCCACUGAUAGCAUUCAUCUUCAGUCUUUCAUUAAGAUCAGAAUACUUUUUCAGAGAGAAAUCUACUAGAAGGACCUAAAGCCCAUAAGCAGCAAGACCCUUUUUAUUUGGUGCUGUGGUUUUUUAUUUUGUUUUUGCAAUCUGAUCCUCCACCUGCUGUAGUCAUAUAUCGGUUUUGGACAAACUCUAGGCCAAUAGUGACAGGGCCGUACUGUGGGAUCAUACCAAUGGAAAUCAAGAUUAGUUCCAUUGAAGUUAAAGGUACACCAGUGUAAAGUUGAAGUGGGAUUAGAGUUAAGCCUCUGGAAUCAAGGUAUUUAUUUCAAAUUAUUUUCCCCAGGGGCAAAGCAUCUGGCGAUGUGAGAGCAGUCUUUUAUUACUCAGACCAAUUGUUUUACUAUGUGGGGGACCUGACCACUAUGCUGUGAAUCACUUCUGUUCGAGCAAGUGCAAUUGCUCAGGAUGCUGAUCAGAACUACGACUAUGCCAGUAACAGUGUGGUCCUUCAUUUGGAGCCAGGAGAUGAAGUUUACAUAAAAUUAGAUGGAGGAAAAGCACAUGGAGGAAACAACAACAAAUACAGCACGUUUUCUGGAUUUAUUAUUUAUGCUGACUGAUGAUGAGUCAAAAACUAAGCUUGUACUUCUGAGUCCAAGCACUGGAUUCAUGUGGCAAAUGUCAGUCAAUCAGGAACCCCAGUGGAGACCGACCAUGGGACACCUCAGUAGUGGGGAAAAUCAAAUGCUACCUGACUCACAUCUGUCCAACAGAGUACUCUUAUAUUAAAAAAUUAUAAAGCAAGUUAAACAGAUGUGUGAUCCACUACCGCCAAAGCAAAUACUCCUUAUUGUUAGUGUCCAUGUGAAUGAAGUCCUAUAUAGAUCAAUUUUUAUAGAAAAAAAAUCUAAAGACACUGAAUUAUUUCUUCAGUAUAUAUGAUACUUUGAUGUGUUAUGAUCUUGCUGCUUUAUCCAUACAUCAGCUUUGAUCCUUGUGACUUACCUGCUAACAAUGAUGCUUGGAGUCCACUCAUAGUGUGGUGAGGAAUGAUUUUACAAUAAAAGGAAGAGGUAAUUGAAAUAUACUUCUUCUCUCCAAAGGAAUUGUUUGCCUUGUAUUAUUGUUAUCCUUCUAUCUAGAAUUAGAAGCCAAUUGGUUUCAAGCCUUAACUGAAUUUUCCAAGAUUUGUGAGUGUACAUCAGACUCCUGACACGAUGUCAGCCUAUUAAAGCAGUUUACAUUUCCUCUCCUCCCUUUAGUUGUAUUUUAAAAGAGAAAGACAGGCAGACAGAUGAAGGGAACAAUUCAUUAAAAAUAUAAGAAUUGACAUAAAAUGUCUACUAUAUUUGGACCAAGUCCUCCUUCCAUUGAAGCCAAUGGCAAAACUCCCAUUGAUUUUAGUGAGAACAGGAUUUGGCUCUCAAUAGGUAAACAUGUGUAAAUAUAUAUUUAGACAAUUCUACAAACCCAUUCUUGAUGGUUUGUUGUGUAAAUAUUUAUUUAGCAAGUCUAACAUCCACAUUUGCUGGCCAGGCUGGAAUAAUUUCUGUGCAGCAAUUAAUCUUUAGUGUAAAUCUGUAGUUAGGUAUUAUUUUUAACAAAAAGAUUAUUUAUGGCUCAACAUACUGCAGAAGCACACUGGGAGUCAUUAUGUAGGACAUUGUGGGGAUAUCAUGGACCAAAAUCCUGCUCAACUCACUCACUUAUGCAACAGGCUUCCUUGAAUUCUGUGGAGGUACUCGCACAAAAGAGCAGCAUGUGAUUUGACUCCAUGUUACCAUGCUGUCAUGUAGCUCAUUUUAAAAAUGUAUUUUAUUAGUUUGUCAUGAGGUGUGACUAUGAAAUUAACACAAGAAGCAUAUUACCAAAUAUAAAAACCACUUAUGCAAGGAAGCAGAUUUUCAAAUGCAAAAAAGGUGUGUAUAAAAUAUUAUUUUUCUUAAAUAUAUAUCUACAUAGAAGUAUAUAUCUAUAUAUGUAUGUGCUAAAGUAGCUUAAUCCACAAGAUGAAUUAGUGGACUGGAGAAUUAAAUUGUUCAACACAUGGUUUUAAGUUAUAAUUAUAAAAAAACUCUUUCAAAUCAGUAAUAGCUGUAAUGCUGUCUUGACAGAGGAUAUUUGUUCUAAACCAUGUAUAAGGCAUUUAUUUUCUUAACUGCUCCCGUAUUGGUGCUACCAAGUAUUAAUCUCAUGUAAAAUUACAGCUGGAAUAUGCAACUUAACAGAUAAUGUUUGAGAGAGAAAAAUAAUUAAUUAGCUUCCUACUGCAGCUGAUGCAGUAUAUAACUUAGAUAACAUUCAUGGUAAAAUUAUGGUACUAUUUGUACAAAUUGAGGGAAUAAUAGAGGCCAGAACUUUUCAUUUUUCCAUAAUCUCCACAGGAAGCCUUUUCUAAUCUACAAAGUAAAAAAUGUGCACACAUAGAUAUUUAUCAUACACUAACAUGUCAAAAAUCUGUCAUACUUUUUACCAUGAAUUACUUGGUAAGAUUAGACAAAUUUUAAAGAUGAAAAAUUGCUCUAGAAAUGAGUUUAAUGUUUACAUGAGUAAGGCUUAACUAGACUAUGCUAUUCUUCCGGUCUCUUGCUCUUUUGAGCAGGCAUUCAAUUAAAAAAACAUGACCAAAUAGUCUGUGCUCAAUAAAAGAAUCUUGAAUCCAGCACAUCUGUAUUUUCAUAAGGGAAGAUAAUGCUUCAAAACUGCCUUUUUAUUUUGUCAUCACAUCAUUUUGAUUAAACAUUGCUAGUAUCCCUAUGACAUAACACCAACUCAUCACAUACAUAAAAUGCAGUGAUUACUUCUCUUUGGCUUUUCCACUACGCAAUGCAUUUUAUAAUGGACAUAAUUGACUUCACAUCUGCUCAUUUCACAGGUCUUUUGUUUGGUAAUUACGCUCACUACAGAGUGGUUGGCAGCAAGGCUUUGCUACUUCUUAUGUAGAUAUCAAACAGCAGUGUAUCUAGUAAAAAAUCAUUUAUACUUAGUACUACUCUUUCACCAAGGUGUUAACAGAAAGACUUUACCACCACAGGACACCUAAAGAUGGAUAAAUUAGAAAAAGCAAGAUCUUGAAAUCAGAUUGCCAUUGCUAACAGACAUGACCUUUUCUUUGGAGAAAUAAGUAUCCCCUGUUUAGGUCUAGAGGAAAGAACAAAAACUUAACUGAAAAAAAUCAUGUAAGGGAAACAUUUCAUGUUUUGAUUCAUAUCUUGACAAACUGAUUUGUAAACUGAUUGUCUCAUGGCCUUUGUUAUAACCACAACUCCUCAUUAAAUUGUGUUAUGUAAUAUAUUUUGACUUUUGGUAUUGCAUCUUUACAAAAGGAAACUGGUUUGCAUGGUAUUUCACAUGGUCAUAUGCAAGUUUCCAAAAGCUCAAAAGUGAUUUAUUGCAAUUAAAACACAUUCUAAAACAAAAAACAGCAACUGUUAAACUCGUCUACAAACUGCUUUAUUCAAAAAUAUUCUUCACAUUUUCAUUUAAAAAUAAUCUCUUUGAAUUGUUAAUUAAGGAAGAUAAAGUACUUUUU